rnacentral:misc_RNA from 1 species
AAGUCGUAACAAGGUUUCCGUAGGUGAACCUGCGGAAGGAUCAUUAACACGUAUCCAAACGUAAAAAACCCCCCCCGUGAACAUUCAAUCCUGCUCUUGUAACCCGCAUAGCCCGGAAAGUAGUUUUGAUUCAGAGACCUCUGGCUACGUGAGAACAUUGGAACAGUUACAAUCGAGCGGUAGUUUCAUAGGCAUUGUUUCCCCAAGCAGUUAGUGUCUGAAAGUGUCACUGAUUGUGCAAGGAUAGCGCUUCAACGAUUCCUGUAGACCGUACACUCGGGCAGGAGCUAUGCCAAAGGGUCCCCAUGCCCCCUUAUAACCCCACAGUUUAAUGUGAAGCUCAAUGUAAUACAUUGGGUAAAAAAACCGAACAACUGUUAACAAUGGAUAUCUUGGUUCUC